rnacentral:rRNA from 1 species
AUUGAACGCUGGUGGCAUGCUUAACACAUGCAAGUUGCACGGCAGCAUGAUCUUGCUUGCAAGAUUGAUGGCGAGUAGCGGACGGGUGAGUAAAGCAUAGGGAUCUACCCUAAAGUGGGGGACAACGGAGGGAAACUUUCGCUAAUACCGCAUAAUACCUGUGGGUUAAAGUCUGCUUAGGCAGGCGCUUUAGGAUGAACCUAUGUCAGAUUAGCUAGAUGGUGGGUAAAGGCCUACCAUGGCGACGAUCUGUAGCUGUUCUGAGAGGAAGAUCAGCCACACUGGGACUGAGACACGGCCCAGACUCCUACGGGAGGCAGCAGUGGGGAAUAUUGGACAAUGGGGGCAACCCUGAUCCAGCAAUGCCACGUGUGUGAAGAAGGCCUGAGGGUUGUAAAGCACUUUAGUCAGGGAGGAAGGUUCAUAUGUUAAUAGCAUAUGGAAUUGACGUUACCUGAAGAAUAAGCACC